rnacentral:rRNA from 1 species
ACGGCCAUACCAUGCUGAAUAUACCGGUGCUCGUUAGAUCACCGAAGUCAAGCAUCUCUGGGAACGGUCAAGCGCAUUGGGUGGGUGACCACCUGGGAACAUCGCGUGCCGUU